rnacentral:lncRNA from 1 species
UUUAAUUCGCGUUAGAUAAACACUGUAAUGAUAGUAAUUGAUAGAUUGACAUUGGUCUCUGUGGGAUCGAUAAUAUUUUAUAUUACUCUGAUGUAUUUUGUAUACUUGUGGAAAGCACGCCUCAAAGAAACAAACAAAAUAAUUUUUAGACCUCUCCCAUAGGAGUCACUUAGCAGCCAAUAAGAAGAAUGGACUUGGCUGCAUGAAAGAGGCUCUCUCUCUUAUUCAAAAAACAACCAAUAUCGUUCUCAUUCUCUCCCUCAAACACUUUUCCU